rfam:Ictidomys tridecemlineatus contig055716, whole genome shotgun sequence.
GGGGUUGUAGCUCAGUGGUAGAGCACUUGCCUAGCAUGUGUGAGGCACUGGGUUCAAUCCUCAGCACCA